rnacentral:rRNA from 1 species
GCACAAGCAGCGGAGCGUGUGGUUUAAUUCGUUGCUACACGAAGAACCUUACUAGGUUUGACAUAUAGGUUGUAGGGAACUGAAAAGGGACCGACCCUUCGGGGAGCCUAUACAGGUGUUGCAUGGCUGUCGUCAGCUCGUGUCGUGAGAUGUUCGGUUAAGUCCGCUAACGAGCGCAACCCUCGUCGUAUGUUACAAGUGUCAUACGAGACUGCCGGUAAAAAGUCGGAGGAAGGUGAGGAUGAUGUCAAGUCAGCAUGACCUUUAUAUCUAGGGCUACACACACGCUACAAUGGUCUGUACAAUGGGUUGCCAAGCCGCGAGGCGGAGCCAAUCCUAAAAAGCAGGCCUCAGUUCAGAUUGCAGUCUGCAACCCGACUGCAUGAAGCCGGAGUUGCUAGUAACCGCAGGUCAGCAAUACUGCGGUGAAUACGUUCCCGGGUCUU